GCCGGGAUGGCGGAACUGGUAGACGCGGCGGACUCAAAAUCCGUUGCCCUUGCGGGCGUGUCGGUUCGAUUCCGACUCUCGGCACCA
rnacentral:tRNA from 1 species